AUGAAUGCUGGCGGCGUGCCUUAGGCAUGCAAGUCGAACGGGAGCAGCAAUGCUCCAGUGGCAGACGGGUGAGUAACGCGUAGGAAUCUACCUCUAGGUGGAGCAUAGCCGGCCGAAAGGUCGGGUAAUUCUCCAUAGUCCCGCAAGGGUAAAGGACUAACGGUCCGCCAAGAGAGGAGCCUGCGUCCUAUCAGCUAGUUGGCGGGGUAAAUGCCCACCAAGGCGAUGACGGGUAGCUGGACUGAGAGGUCGAUCAGCCACAACUGCACUGAGACACGGGCAGUACACCUACGGGUGGCAGCAACCAGGAAUAUUGCGCAAUGGACGAAAGUCUGACGCAGCGACGCCGCGUGGAGGAAGACGGCCUUAGGGUUGUAAACUCCUUUUGCCAAGCCGUUCACAGCUUGGCGAAUAAGCCUCUACUAACUACGUGCCAGAAGUCUCGGUAAUACGUAGGAGGCAAGCAUUAUCCGGAUCAUUGGGCGUAAAGUGUGCGUAGGCGUUCCAUAAAGUCUCAUUUAAAGACCGAGGCUUACCCUCGGGACUGGUGGGGAUACUCAUGGAAUUGAGGAUUGAUAAGGAAGCUGGAACAGUUAAUGUAGCAGUGAAAUGCGUUGAUAUUAACUGGAAACACCAAGGGCGAAGGCAGGCUUCUGUAUUUUUCCUGACGCUGAGGCACGAAAGCUAGGGUAGCGAAACAGAUUAGAUACCUGUGUAGUCCUAGCCGUAAACGAUGUCCGCUAACUCUCACUCGCAAAGCGAAUGAAUUGGAAUUAGGGGUUUGUACCUGAUUCAUAAUUCGUCCGUUGUGCGAGUGGGGGGUUCAAGCUAACGCGUUAAGCGGACCGCCUGGGGAGUACGGCCGCAAGGCUAAAACUCAAAGGAAUUGACGGGGACCCGCACAACUGGUGGAGCGUGUGGUUUAAUUCGAGACAAAGCGAAACACCUAACCAGGGCUUGACAUGCUAGCGUUCUAUUCUCUGGAAACAGAGGAAAUCCGUAAGGAGGUUAGCACAGGUGCUGCAUGGCUGUCGUCAGCUCGUGCCGUGAGGUGUUCCCUUAAGUGGGGAAACGAGCGCAACCCCCGCCUAAUGUUAAAUAUUCAUUAGGGACGGUCCCAGUUUUACUGGGAAGGAAGGAGGGGAAGACGUCAAGUCAGCAUGGUCCUUAUGCCCUGGGUCACACACACCCUACAAUGGCGAACAACAACGAGCCGCAAGCUAGCAAUAGCAAGCAAAUCUCUGAAAUUUCGCCUCAGUUCAGAUUGGGGGCUGCAACCCGCCCCCAUGAAGGAGGAAUCAGUAGUAAUCGCGGAUCAGCAGGCCGCGGUGAAUACGUUCUCGGGUCUUGUACACACCGCCCGUCAAGGCAGCAAAGUCGGGAGUGGCUGAAUCAUACCGUUCGGCGUGAGAAGCCAAGCUUGGCGAUGAGCUU
rnacentral:rRNA from 1 species